GACGAACGCUGGCGGCGUGCUUAACACAUGCAAGUCGAACGGUAAGGCUCCAGCUUGCUGGGGUACACGAGUGGCGAACGGGUGAGUAACACGUGGGUGACCUGCCCUGCACUUCGGGAUAAGCCUGGGAAACUGGGUCUAAUACCGGAUAGGACCGCACCGUGAGGGUGUGGUGGAAAGUUUUUUCGGUGUGGGAUGGGCCCGCGGCCUAUCAGCUUGUUGGUGGGGUAAUGGCCUACCAAGGCGGCGACGGGUAGCCGGCCUGAGAGGGUGGACGGCCACAUUGGGACUGAGACACGGCCCAGACUCCUACGGGAGGCAGCAGUGGGGAAUAUUGCACAAUGGGCGGAAGCCUGAUGCAGCGACGCCGCGUGGGGGAUGACGGCCUUCAGGUUGUAAACUCCUUUCACCAUCGACGAAGGGUUUCUGACGGUAGAUGGAGAAGAAGCACCGGCUAACUACGUG
rnacentral:rRNA from 1 species